rnacentral:rRNA from 1 species
UACAGAGGUCUCGAGCGUUGUUCGGAUUCAUUGGGCGUAAAGGGUGCGUAGGUGGCGCCGUAAGUCGGGUGUGAAAUUUCGGAGCUUAACUCCGAAACUGCAUUCGAUACUGCGGUGCUUGAGGACUGGAGAGGAGACUGGAAUUCAUGGUGUAGCAGUGAAAUGCGUAGAGAUCGGGAGGAAGGCCGGUGGCGAAGGCGGCGCUCUGGAACGUUUCUGACGCUGAGGCUCGAAAGCGUGGGGAGCAAACAGG